rnacentral:rRNA from 1 species
GACUGCGGAGGACAUUAUCGAAUAAACAAAGAAGACUGUUGCUGGCUUUUCACGGAGCAUCGUGCACGUCUUUCUUUCUUUAUAAACCCACCGUGUGCACCUUAUCAGUAGACUCCGAACAGGCGAACGCAGACCUAGUCUAGUUAUUAGUCGAACAGGAUCUACUUCAUCUACACCGUUUACAUCCGUAUGUCCAGAAUGUCAUAAAUCAUAUACAACUUUCAGCAACGGAUCUCUUGGCUCUCGCAUCGAUGAAGAACGCAGCGAAUCGCGAUAUGUAAUGUGAAUUGCAGAUUUUCCGUGAAUCAUCGAAUCUUUGAACGCACCUUGCGCCCUUUGGUAUUCCGAAGGGCAUGCCUGUUUGAGUGUCAUGAAUAUCAAUCAACCCUUGGCUUGCUUGCUUGCUUGCCAAUGGGCUUGGACUUGGGAGUUGCCGGUGGUGAAAGCCGUCGGCUCUUCUGAAAUGCAUUAGCGAGUUCUUCUUGCAUGGCCUUUCGACCUGAUAAUCAUCGUCGUCAGCCAUACUGAUCUCGCUUCCAACACUGAUCGGAUGUGUGGUAGUCUAGCCUAGUUAUUAGUCGAAAGGCGAACACAGGCUAACGAAUCAAGUCCUAGUGGCGAACACAGACCUUUGGCAAAGUUCAGUCUAGUCUAGUUAUUAGUCGAGAGGCGAACGCAGACAGACCCAAGGCUUUGGGCCCUCGAUCAGGGUCUAGUUACUAGUUCACCAGGCUUGACGGGACCACAACUCUACACUUUUCAUCUUGACCUCAAAUCAGGUAGGACUACCCGCUGAACUUAAGCAUAUCAUA